rnacentral:rRNA from 2 species
UACGUAGGUGGCAAGCGUUGUCCGGAUUUACUGGGUGUAAAGGGCGUGUAGCCGGGAAGGCAAGUCAGAUGUGAAAUCUGGAGGCUCAACCUCCAAACUGCAUUUGAAACUGCUUUUCUUGAGUAUCGGAGAGGUAAUCGGAAUUCCUUGUGUAGCGGUGAAAUGCGUAGAUAUAAGGAAGAACACCAGUGGCGAAGGCGGAUUACUGGACGACAACUGACGGUGAGGCGCGAAAGCGUGGGGAGCAAACAGG